CAGUAAAAAGUAUAAAAUGAGUGAGAUAUCAACAGUUGCUUGAUUACUAAUUUAAAUUGAUUUAGUGGUAAAGACCGUACUUUGGAGGCAGUUUAUUAUAAAAUUUGUGAGAUAGAUAGUUAGGGCCGUUUUGUGAUAACUUUAACCUAAAUUGAUCUGUUAUAAGGAAUCUCUACUUACAUACAAUCGACUGUGGAUCAUCCUGUAUUAAUAAACGUUACUUAAUAAAUAUGUGCAUUUUCAUGAGUGUUACUCAAAGUACUUGUAUGAGCUGUAGGUUCCACAGCAGGACUUAAGAAUUGAAAUGGUCUACUUCCAAAAUUACUUAAUUCAACAAUGCGGUUUCAAAUUUUUUAACUGAUGUCACUUUGUUUUAGGCAAUUUUUCAAUUUCAAUUUUUGUAUAAUCUCUGGAUACCUGCCUAAACUUAGGAAGCCUCUCCAGUUAAAUAGCCCUUAGAUGGGAAUGUUAAUGUAUUCGUCCAGAACUUUACAAUUUUAUGUUGAAAAUGCAACCCAUAUGAAUUUACAUUUAAAACUAAAACUUAAUUACUAUCCGUUGUCAACGUUCAAAACCUUUAACCUUAAACCUUCAACACUUCAACAUUUGCCUUUAAUAUCAUCACCUUCAAUUGCACAAAUACUUGAUAAUGGUUUUUGCAUAAACUAGUCGUAAUAUUGUUUCAUAAACUUCAUGGGGAAGGUUUCGUGUCAACUUUAAACAAACUUUAUGUAUCCCACCCCAGCAUUUUGAAAAGAAAAUUACACCGAUGGAUAUAUUCUAGAAGGUAAUACCUUACAUUUUCCUAAUUCACUACUCGAAAUCUCCAAAUGGCUGCCACGAGGAGAAACCUCAGAAAUGGUAGUUAUAUUGAGGAAUAUGACAGCAAAAAGUCUAAACUUUUAUUUACAAAACCAGUGUUUGUUAUGUGCCCGUGCGAUGUUAUCGAAAAUUCUUCCUUUGACAAUAGUGAACGCAGACGACGAAGUGAAUUGCAUUUGUAAAUUCCAAAAAAUACACAAAAGCUAAUAAUUAAGCCGAUGUUUAAAGAACAAAGGUUUUCACACAAAUAUAAUUUGCUUUGUAGUGAUCCAUUUUAGCGCCAUAUGCCCGGCAAGAAUACGGCUUUACAAAGUAAAAUAUUCCUCAUACUAACGAAACGGAAUUGCUUGUGUUUACUUAUACAUUAGAGAAAUUAUUAACUUGUAAGCCUAUCUAUAUGCAAUAAAUUGUUUUCCUCGAUUAUGGAUAUACCAUUCACGUUCGUCCAAGCGACACUUCAAUCAAAUGAAAUGAUGACAAGAUAAAUAUCAUUUCGGCACCCGUAAGUGCCAUAUAAUUGACAAACAAUCCCCUUUAAGCAUUGUGUGCAUAAUAUUUACAUAUUCAUUGUUUAUCAUAGGGUUAACAUGUGAAUUUAUCUCAGUUAAUUAUCAUUUAUAUAUAAAAUAAAUGCUACUUCCCUUGUUUA